rnacentral:lncRNA from 1 species
GCCGCAGCGCGACCCGAGCGGAGACGGCGGCACCGGAUGCCGCGCGGGGAUGAGAGAAUGCUUUUUUAAGGCAAAGUUGUGAAGAGUUGUGUCAUUUCUGUAAAAGAAAAAGUAGGAGGAGAAUGAGAAAGAUUUUUCUAAGAAGCUUAACAGAGAAACUGAGAGAAUAUCAUCAAAGACUGCUCUUUUUUGAGUGCCUUAGGUUCUCAUCUGUUUGUGACAACACAAAUCCAAUAUGCCAUAAGCAUGUUGAAAUGUUCUGGCCUUUACAGUUUUCCCAGCCUGAGGGAAGACUUCAUUUAUGGAAUAGUACUCCUGAAGAGCCAAG